ACUCAAAGGAAUUGACGGGGACCCGCACAAGCAGCGGAGCGUGUGGUUUAAUUCGAUGCAACGCGAAGAACCUUACCAAGGCUUGACAUGUACUUGCACCGGCCGUAAUGGGUCGUUCUCUUCGGAGACGGGUACACAGGUGCUGCAUGGCUGUCGUCAGCUCGUGUCGUGAGAUGUUGGGUUCAGUCCCGCAACGAGCGCAACCCCUAUCGUUAGUUAGAAAUGUCUAGCGAGACUGCCAGAGAAAACUGGAGGAAGGCGGGGAUGACGUCAAGUCAGCACGGCCCUUACGCCUUGGGCGACACACACGCUACAAUGGUCAGGACAAUGGGUCGCGAACCCGCGAGGGGGAGCUAAUCUUAUCAAACCUGGCCUCAGUUCAGAUUGGAGGCUGCAACCCGCCUCCAUGAAGUGGGAGUUGCUAGUAACCGUCGGUCAGCACACGACGGUGAAUACGUUCCCGGGUCUUGCACACACCGCCCGU
rnacentral:rRNA from 1 species